rnacentral:rRNA from 1 species
GGGUUGUGAGGUUAAGCGAAUAAGCGUACACGGUGGAUGCCUAGGCAAUCAGAGGCGAUGAAGGACGUGCUAAUCUGCGAAAAGCGUCGGUAAGGUGAUAUGAACCGUUAUACCCGACGAUAUCCGAAUGGGGAAACCCAGUAUCCAGUGGAUACUAUCAUUAACUGAAUCCAUAGGUUAAUGAGGCGAACCGGGAGAACUGAAACAUCUCAGUACCCCGAGGAAAAGAAAUCAACCGAGAUUCCCCUAGUAGCGGCGAGCGAACGGGGAGCAGCCCAGAGUCUUAAUCAAUAACAGUGUCAGGAGAACGGUCUGGAAAGUCCGGCAGUAAAGGGUGAUAGCCCCGUAUCUGAAGAUGCUGUUAUUGUGAACUCGACGAGUAGGGCGGGACACGUGUUAUCCUGUCUGAAUAUGGGGGGACCAUCCUCCAAGGCUAAAUACUCCUGAUUGACCGAUAGUGAACCAGUACCGUGAGGGAAAGGCGAAAAGAACCCCGGCGAGGGGAGUGAAAAAGAACCUGAAACCGUGUACGUACAAGCAGUAGGAGCCUCUUUAUGGGGUGACUGCGUACCUUUUGUAUAAUGGGUCAGCGACUUAUAUUCUGUAGCGAGGUUAACCGUAUAGGGGAGCCGUAGGGAAACCGAGUCUUAACUGGGCGAAUGAGUUGCAGGGUAUAGACCCGAAACCCGGUGAUCUAUCCAUGGGCAGGUUGAAGGUUGGGUAACACUAACUGGAGGACCGAACCGACUAAUGUUGAAAAAUUAGCGGAUGACUUGUGGAUGGGGGUGAAAGGCCAAUCAAACCGGGAGAUAGCUGGUUCUCCCCGAAAGCUAUUUAGGUAGCGCCUCGUGAAUUCAUCUUCGGGGGUAGAGCACUGUUUCGACUAGGGGGUCAUCCCGACUUACCAACUCAAUGCAAACUGCGAAUACCGAAGAAUGUUAUCACGGGAGACACACGGCGGGUGCUAACGUCCGUCGUGAAGAGGGAAACAACCCAGACCGCCAGCUAAGGUCCCAAAGUCAUGGUUAAGUGGGAAACGAAGUGGGAAGGCUCAGACAGCCAGGAUGUUGGCUUAGAAGCAGCCAUCAUUUAAAGAAAGCGUAAUAGCUCACUGGUCGAGUCGGCCCGCGCGGAAGAUGUAACGGGGCUAAACCAUGCACCGAAGCUGCGGCAGCGACACAUAGUGUUGUUGGGUAGGGGAGCGUUCUGUAAGCCUGCGAAGGUGUACUGUGAGGUAUGCUGGAGGUAUCAGAAGUGCGAAUGCUGACAUAAGUAACGAUAAUGCGGGUGAAAAACCCGCACGCCGGAAGACCAAGGGUUCCUGUCCAACGUUAAUCGGGGCAGGGUGAGUCGACCCCUAAGGCGAGGCUGAAAAGCGUAGUCGAUGGGAAACGGGUUAAUAUUCCCGUACUGGUGGUAACUGCGAUGGGGGAACGGAGAAGGCUAGGUUGUCCGGGCGACGGUCGUCCCGGUUCAAGCAGGUAGGCAGAGUGAUUAGGCAAAUCCGGUCACUUAAUGCUGAGAUGUGAUGACGAACCACCAAGGUGGUGAAGCAAUUGAUGCCCCGCUUCCAGGAAAAGCCUCUAAGCUUCAGGUUACCAACAAUCGUACCCCAAACCGACACAGGUGGUCAGGUAGAGAAUACUCAGGCGCUUGAGAGAACUCGGGUGAAGGAACUAGGCAAAAUGGUGCCGUAACUUCGGGAGAAGGCACGCUGGCGGUAGGUAAAGUCCCUUGCGGACGGCGCUGAAGCCAGUCGAAGAUACCAGCUGGCUGCAACUGUUUAUUAAAAACACAGCACUGUGCAAACACGAAAGUGGACGUAUACGGUGUGACGCCUGCCCGGUGCUGGAAGGUUAAUUGAUGGGGUCAGCCGUAAGGCGAAGCUCCUGAUCGAAGCCCCAGUAAACGGCGGCCGUAACUAUAACGGUCCUAAGGUAGCGAAAUUCCUUGUCGGGUAAGUUCCGACCUGCACGAAUGGCGUAAUGAUGGCCAGGCUGUCUCCACCCGAGACUCAGUGAAAUUGAACUCGCUGUGAAGAUACAGUGUACCCGCGGCAAGACGGAAAGACCCCGUGAACCUUUACUAUAGCUUGACACUGAACAUUGAGCCUUGAUGUGUAGGAUAGGUGGGAGGCUUUGAAGUGUGGACGCCAGUCUGCAUGGAGCCAACCUUGAAAUACCACCCUUUAACGUUUGAUGUUCUAACCUAGGCCCAUAAACUGGGUCGGGGACCGUGUCUGGUGGGUAGUUUGACUGGGGCGGUCUCCUCCUAAAGAGUAACGGAGGAGCACGAAGGUUGGCUAAGCAUGGUCGGACAUCAUGCGGUUAGUGCAAAGGCAUAAGCCAGCUUGACUGCGAGAGUGACGGCUCGAGCAGGUACGAAAGUAGGUCUUAGUGAUCCGGUGGUUCUGAAUGGAAGGGCCAUCGCUCAACGGAUAAAAGGUACUCCGGGGAUAACAGGCUGAUACCGCCCAAGAGUUCAUAUCGACGGCGGUGUUUGGCACCUCGAUGUCGGCUCAUCACAUCCUGGGGCUGAAGUAGGUCCCAAGGGUAUGGCUGUUCGCCAUUUAAAGUGGUACGCGAGCUGGGUUUAGAACGUCGUGAGACAGUUCGGUCCCUAUCUGCCGUGGGCGUUGGAAGAUUGAGAGGGGUUGCUCCUAGUACGAGAGGACCGGAGUGAACGCACCACUGGUGUUCGGGUUGUCAUGCCAAUGGCAUUGCCCGGUAGCUAAGUGCGGAAGAGAUAACCGCUGAAAGCAUCUAAGCGGGAAACUUGCCUCGAGAUGAGUCUUCCCUGUCGCUUUAAGCGACCUAAAGGAACGUUUAAGACUAAGACGUUGAUAGGCUGGGUGUGUAAGCGUAGCGAUACGUUGAGCUAACCAGUACUAAUGAACCGUGAGGCUUAACCUGACAACACCGAAAGUGUUUUG